UACAUGGGUCCAGUAAAGGUACACAACCUCCGGGCGAAUGCAGAGACCCUAUAAUUUAUAUAAUACACGUUUAGUCCACGACUACGACCGAGACCCUCCCCAUGCUCCCCCGUCUUUUUCUCAACAACACAGUUGUUACGUCACUGUCCAACACUCUAGUAAGUCUACCUGACUGGCUCACAACACUCUAGUAACUUUAAAACGACGUUGUAAAACUUAAACGUCCCCUACCCUGUGGAACGCUACACGGACUUCGGAACUACGUUAUACUGGCGUUACUACAACGAUCUGUUAGUCCAAUAGUAGACAGUAAAGCGAAACAAGAUUUUUAACUCAAUAGAAACGUAAGUCAAUUGUAUCAAGAAACGGCUGUAGGUACUCGUACUCCUACUUCACCCAUCCCCUAACACGCACCACAGUCCGACCUACUCCUCAUUGGAUUCCAACGUCUAUCCGUACCAGUCCUGUAGCACUUCCCACUCUACCCACUAUUCAAGACUCCUUUUCGACCAAACUUCCUACUUCUCGGUUUGUGUUCUCUGUACGAUGAAAGAUACUGUCCUACAACAGUAUGUGAAGGUCUCUUGAAUCGUUCUCUUCUGAAGCACUCCCUCAAGCCUGGUUUGCCCGACAACUGUCACCUAAGCACACAGCGCCGACUAGUAAUGUUCCUUCCAGCCUACAAACUAUCAACUGUCUAGUCUACUACGACGGCCACGGUUACAUGCUCCAGGUAUCACAUACUCCACUAAAACUACUCCCCCUGUCCCAACUCGACGGUCUAAAGUACGAACUUCACGAGAAAGACUCCAUACUCAAUAUGCCUACAUCAUAAAAUCUAGGCCACAGACGCUCUAACUAAUACUUUGUGCAACACAUGUAAUCUGUAACCUCCCCUUACAAUCGAUGGUAGAGUAAAACACCACACCAUCACUAAGAUUCGGGUCACAAACGGUGUAACUCGAAUUGGACAUAAAACUCGUUCUGUACCGUUCGAUCUAAUGUAGGAUCAGUCGACCGCACCUUCACGAACACUAGUGAGACACGAAUCGAUAUGAUAUAAACGUACAUUCCUAACUAUACGGUGUACAACUUCCACCAUUGACUUGGUCG
rnacentral:rRNA from 1 species